rnacentral:rRNA from 1 species
GACGAAGGGGGCUAGCGUUGUUCGGAAUUACUGGGCGUAAAGCGAGUGUAGGUGGUCAUCCAAGUUGGAUGUGAAAGCCUUGGGCUUAACCCAAGAAAUGCCUUCGGGACUGGAUGACUAGAGGACCGGAGAGGAUAGUGGAAUUCCCAGUGUAGUGGUGAAAUGCGUAGAGAUGGGGAAGAACACCAGUGGCGAAGGCGGCUAUCUGGACGGUUUCUGACACUAAGGCGCGAAAGCGUGGGGAGCAAACAGG